CGGAACGUUCUCGCCCUCCUAAUCGGUGCUCGGUCCCGAGCGAGCCCCAAUUUGACGCCACUGGUGUCGGUCCUCAGUCCCGAGUGAGCCCUAAUUUGACCCCACUGAUGUCGGUGAUUAGCAUUCUGUCCCCUUCGUCGGCGUUGGACGUCAGAGUCGCCAGUGGGCACCAACACGCGCGUCGCCCUUCUGUGAUGCUCCGAUUCCGCGAUCGAGCGACGCCCUCGUUUCUGGUGAUGGUAACUUAAUAUACAGAAACAAUCUUUUUGGUUGUAGAGUGAACAAAAUGCUCCCAUUCUUCAUUGAUUUGAGUGCCGAUGUCCGGGCAAAAGACAAUUCUUGACCAGACGAAGUCAAUGGAAUUGAGAUUUUGCCGAUUGCAGAAUAGUGGACUGUUCUGUCUUGAGCAUAAACUAUAGCAGAUACAAGUACCCAGCCCGGUCCAUUGCAUGUCAUCAUCUAUUCGGGCCUUCUUCGUAUCCUUGUAUCAGGUUGUUUGAUAUGAAAGUUUAAACCUGUUUUUGGAAGCAAUAGGUUUACCGUACUGCUAUGAAUACUUUCCACUCCGAUGUUUGCGAUCCAUUCAUUGUUCUUGUUAAGGACUCGAGUGAUGUCACAAAAUGCCAUAUCUACAUAGAUUUUGGUUCAGUAAGUUCGUAUGCCGUCGCUGUGUUUCCUAGUUGGCUUCUCUCUGUGAUAUUGGACAAGAAAAGGCUCAGGGAUGCAGAUAAAUUGCUUUCUCUGAUAUAAUUUCCACCUCUGCUUGGAGCUGUUGUGGUGUAAAAGAGCAAUUCUUUGGCCAAAAUAUGUGACCGUCCUGAUGUAAAAUUGAAAUGGACUAUGAAUUGUAUAGGGUCUGAUUUACUUGGUUCAGUGCACCUGCUAGAUAGAUGCAAUUCCAAUGAUUUUCUUGGAGGCUUGCAGCUGGACUAUCACUGAUUGAUUAAUGCUAUACAGUACUUGCAUAUGUCUUCAUACUCUCAGGUCUUGUCUGAACCACUUUCCAGUCAGCUACUGACAGAAUGUGGUCCACAUCCAUCUGAAUGUUAAAAGUAGGAUUUAUCUUUCACUUUAAGCUACUUUCGAGAAGCAUUUCUCUUCUACAUCGUGUGGGAAACACUGACCUUAAGUUGUUUGGUGCAGUCCACAGUUAAGCGUGAUGGCCAUUUGAUUUCAUUGCAAUAUAAAAGGCUGGGAAUAUUGAUGCCUUGUAGGAAACCAGUGCAUGAUAGGGAGCUAAAGUCUAAGGAGCCUAUGCUAAGUCCACAAUGUUGAUACGAUGACUAGUUCUGCAGAGUUCACUUUCCAGGGAUGCUUUUUCACUUCAGUUGCAAUGAUGCUUUUGUUAUAUUUACAAUGGAUUGCGACCAUGAAAUUUGGUUGUGUGUUAGGAGAUGGCUGAAAAUUCUAGUAGUUGCUUCUCACUUACAGUGCUUCAAUUAUCAAUACGCCAGUGUCUUUCUUAUAUGCUACAUCAAAGGAGUACAUGGAGGUGACAUGCACAACCAGCCUUACUUGAGAAGUGUCAAAAACCUACAGUAAAGAAUAUUCUUGUUGUAUUCUGGUUGCUGGCUUCUUACUGUUACUAGUCAUGUUUUAUUGUUUCUUUUUUCCUUUUUAUUUUUUUUAUUUUUUUGUACUAUAUCAUGGUCACUGAAAUCAGUGAUAUAUUCCUUUUUAAAAAAAAUUGUUCUGAUUGAUUCAUAAGAGACCAACUCCACAAGAAUCAAUCAGGACACACAUUUGUGGCUAAAUUAAUAUACUUGUUAUCAUGUCUUUUUGUCGUUCCUUAAAAACGAGAAUAGAAAUAUCAGCAACAUACAUUUUGUUAUUUGAUUUUAUUGAUUUAUGGACUUGUUAUUCCUGCCUUUUUUUUUAUAAGGUAUAGAUUGAUUUAUCUUACUAGAUUCAUUCUGAAGUUUGCUUUAGCUUUCAUCACUCAUAUAGUUUUAGAAACUUGAAUCGAUGCAUCAACCAUUGUUUCAUUAAUCCUUUGAUAGCUUCCACAUCUGAUGUAGGAAGUAGGCCUGACAUGUGUAUUUUUUCGGGUACAUAUCUGCUGUACUUUGUGAAAUCAAACAUGGUAGCCAAAUGAAUAAUUGGUUUUGAAGGGUCUGCAUCUUCACCAGCUCCCCUAUCAAGAAUCCAGACCUUGAAUUGUCCAUAUCACAUGGGACCAGAAAUCUUAAUGAUUUCCAGUACGGUGAACCUGGUUUAUUUGCUAGUUUCUUUUAUAAUCUGAUUUCCAGAAAAUUAACAUUCACGAUAAAAAUUAAACUCUUAUGACCACAUUCACUUAUUGGAUCCAAAAAGUCAAAUGGAAACACCAUGAUACCCUUCAAACUUCUUGUUUAAUUCCAAGAUCUUUGAAUUUGUUUGAUAAUGGUCCAAAGGUCAGAAGUAACUAGCUGGCUCAUCGACAUCUUUCACUGAAAACAACAGCGGCAGCAUUGAUUUACUAAUUUAGAUUAGUAGGUAGACUUUUUCUUUUCAUAAGAUGACAAGACUUUGAAAAGAAGACCAUUUUCAUAUGAUGGCAUGCUUUCAUUAUCUCUAGUGGAGGAUUUUUAUUGUUCUGAAGAAACUUUCUUUGGUUUCGUGGAAACAUGGAUCUGAUGCUGAAGCAAUAUAUUUCCAUGACUAAUCAGGAUUUGGGAGUGGACCUACUUAUUCUUUCUUGAUUUAGCCACUAUAGAAUUUUGUACACAUCUGAGUUGAGGUCCAUGUCACGUUAAAGUUCUUGCUUGUGCUACUUUUUUUCCCAUGUUAAUAAAAUAGUAGUGCUACUUUUUUGCUUUAAUUUGAGCUUUGCUGAAACAAGUAGAGUGCAGGUCUGCAGGAUCCUUCUUAUCACUGACUCAGAAUAUGCAUAUACAUGCAACUCACAUCAACAUCGGUUAGCUAUCUAUGUAGAUGAUAGGAUAUGAACAUGGAAUGUGCUGAUUUCUGAUUCGACAAACUGUUGAAUCUUUAGACCCGACAAACCCUCUAACGGUGCUUGAAACAUAGAUUUCAGAAAGAUGAUCCAUCUGUUAAACAUCAACAGUUGGAUAUCUUUUCUGUUCUGUUCGCUCCAUUUGACAAUGCAAAAUAGAAGUAAGAUACUUCGAUUACCAGUUGACAACUUAAAAAAUGAAUAUUUGCAGGUUUUGAACUUUAUUGUUUGUUAUUUGGCAUCCUUUCUUUCUUUCACAUUUUUUUUUGCUAAUACUAUGUUGCUGGCAACUCUAGGGUUGAGAUUGCAGAAACAUCUAUACUGAUAGAUCUUGUUUGAGCCUGAAUUGAAAUAUGAUGGAUGAUUUGUUUGCUCCAAGUGAUGCUAGACUAAAUCACUUUGGCAAUAUCCUCAGCACCUAUCAAUCAGUGGGCGUGAACAGAGACUGAUUGCAGCUAUAAUUGACUUUUAUUUCCCCCAGUUUUGUAUGUCUGCAUCAUGAGAUGCUGUCUCCAUACAAUUCCCAGGUUGAUGAGAUUCAUCAAUGCUAAACCUGACUGGGUUAGGGAGAAAACACUUUUUAUCUGUUACUAAAAGAUCUCCCUGCCCAUUUGUCAGAAUGGUCCAUAAUGGGUUGAGCAGAAGGUUGGUGCUGCAGACACUUAAAAGCUGCAGUUCUCUCCUCCCUAGUUCCAGAUAUUGCCACAGUUAUUGUAAAGAUGGCUGAAACAAGAUUCUAUGAUCUUACUGCUUAGCCUUAUCAAAUGAGCUCUCACUUGUCAUCUGCUAAUUGUUUUCAGAUUCAUGUGCAUGGAGAUCCAAAAAAAAAAAGACACCCUGGUUUGGCUCAUGAAUCAUGUGAGAGAGAUGGCGAAAGGAAGGUGGGCCUCGGAUUUUAUUGCCUCUCAAUCCAAACACCUCCUGUCAGCAAGCUCCAAUCAAACCAAGGAAGACUGAGGUCAAGGUUUAUAUGGAUCAACCCAUCUUCUCCGCACGCCAUCUCAUGUGAGCAAUGCCUAGUCCCCACUACUUUUGUAGGGGGAAGAAGACGAAGACAACGAACGCAUCAUACAUGUUUUGACGGGUGGAGAGACCAUCGGAAGCGUGACCUUUGCUUGCUUGUGGAGCUGAAACACAUGUUCGACACAGACACGAGAGACAUACAAGAAAGAAAGCCAAGUAAUUGCUGAUAUGUGAACCUUCCUGUUUGCAUCUUUUCUCUCUCUCUCUCUCUCUCUCUCUCUCCGGUUGUGGUUUGUGAUCGCUUGGCAUGACAUAAAUUUCAUAAUGGUGGAACAUAAGCAGAUAUGUAAUCUCAUGAUGAUUCAAUGCAAAGCAAAGAGGCACUUUUGCAACCGAGUUGCUCAUCUUUUGUGUUGCUGCCUUUUACUUUAUUAACUUUUUGGUAAAGCCAUUGAGAUAAAAUAUAAAAA